GUGAGUAUAACAUGUGGCUUUUCCUGGAGGGCAGGGAACAGGAGUGGGAAGUCAGAGCUUGGGCAACGGGGACCGAGCUGCAGGGCCAUGUGACCUAGUGCCCCAGGGGAUUUGGCUGUCUUCCUUGGCUCCCGGAGCUCAGAGCAGUGCUGCAGCUCAUGCCAGGGCAUGUGAAGACAGAGCUAACUGGAGUGCAUGGGGUGCCUUUGGGUGGAGGUUGCUGAUGGCUGGGACAGAUGCACCCUGCCCACUGUCUCCUCUGGGGACAGUGACAUCUUUCCCUGCUCUGAUAGCUUGAAAGGACCUGCAUGGCUGAGCUGCCCAGGGGAGCAUUGAGGUGCUUCCUCUGUGUCCUGAGGAGCCAGGUGCUCUCUGCACCCCCAGCUGCUGGAGCCCAGAGGGUGGCAGCCUGGAGCUGGGGCAGCGGUGCCUGGUGCAGUGAGGACUCGGUCUGUGUGGCCUGGUUAGCACAGGACCAUGAGGAAGGGGUUUGGCCAAGGCAUCCCCAGGGACAAGCACGGAUGACAGCAGAUGCUGCUGUCUCUUGGGGCCUGCACCUCGGCAGAGGCUGAUUCCAGCUUGCAGUUCUCCGCCACUUGCAGGUGCGGCAUUGAAAUCAUUCCUUGGUCAUGGAGGACAUUCAGGACUUGAGCACUUACCAAAUCACCUUUGAAGUGGAGCCCUGUGUGUGCUGAGACCACUAGGACCCUGGAACGGGUGCCCGUCACUCACAGAGCCUGUCAGCUUCAGAGGCUGGAAAUGGAAAUCCCAGGCCUACUUGUACACAGGAAUCUCCUGGAGCGAGGAUGUCCUCUUUUCUGAUACCCGCAGAACUGGCAUUUAAGGGGAUGCCUGUGCAGUAUAGCGAAGGAUAGAGCCUCAGAAAUAGCCCUUCUGGAUCAAUCACGUCUCUAGUUUCUAUAAAUGGAAGCUUAACAUCUGCUCUGCAUGUGUAUGCCAGAUCCACCUUGUUCUGGACAACCCUGUGACAUGCCUGAGUCACCCAGCCUUGGCCCUUCCCUGCUCACUGCCUCCUCUCCCUCCUUCGAGAGAAGUCAUCCUCCCAGGAAUGUGCUUUUCAAAUACAAACCAACCAAUCCAGAGUCCACACACCGUACUAACUGGGCUCUCAUGAUCCAGGCCACUGUCCUCCUGCCCUAAUCACCUCAGGGCCAGGUACCAGACAACCAAGGACAGCACCUGUGCCCCAGAGCCUGCGGAGAUUACCUACUCACCCUGCCUCGCCCAUUCCUUCCUGCAGAAAACACAACUCAGACUCUUGCCCACAGUUCCCCAGCCCCUCUUGUGACUGACCCUGGUGCCUCCCCAUGUGACCCCACCAUGGCAUCAUGGGGGCUCCCUCUCUUGGGACCUGUUGGCAUGAUAAGCUAUGUUUCCAAUAGCAGUCAUCUCCUCAUCUCGGCCUCAUCACACCUAAAGAAUAAUAAAACCCGUUGAAACACCUUCAACUCAACAGGACAGACUGGCCCAUUGGAAUCAUUUAGACUUGCAGACAUUUUGUUCAUGCUGUACAGCGUUUCUUCCAGGUACUCUGUUUCGCAGCAGAAAGAGCAGGGCUGAGAUUCACAGACCUGACUUCAGAUCCCCCUUCUAUCACUUACUAGCAUGUGGUCAUCUAUAAUUUACAUAGAUGUGGAAUAAUCCACAGUUUUGAGUAUUUUACUCUCUAGACCUGUGGAAAAUUACUGCUUCCUUUAGUCCUAAAUGUGGAAAAGAAAAUUUGUGUUUAUAUUGUGCCACAAUCUGGGGGGAGGGAGGGAGGGAGAAAAAUGUCAUAUCUGAAACACUCAAAUGAAAACCUUAUAUGUUACUACAUACAUAAAUAUUCAUAUUUAUAGAUAUGUAAAUGUUUAUUUAAAUGUCAGUGGCACCUUCAUUAUUGCGGAUAAGUAGCCCUGGGUGAACAGUCUGUAUUUAUCAACAUCGAGAUUGAAAUUAAGGCUAACCAUUGACCUCAGCCUGCAAUUGACGUAGUUGACGCACUCUUUCAGAGUCAGAUGAUAGUUCAUCAGUAAAAUGAGAAUAAUAAUAACUACUUCCUAAUAUGGUACAGGAUUAAUUGAGAUACAUUUUGUAAAGGACUCCAAAGGAUGUCUUACACAAAGGAGAAGCUUAAGGAGCUCAUCCCUCUAACUCAGUCACCUGAAGAUCUCAUGGGUAAAGUCAGAGACAUCCUCACCCUGAAGAGAGUAGUGCAGGCAAGUGUGGGAAUGCUGUGUGUGGCAGAGACGACCCUGACCCUGGUCUUCUAAAUCAUUUAGAAGAACCGUGUUCUUUCUGAUGAAGAUUCCCACCUGAAAAUGUUCAUAUCAAGGUGACUGAUGUUCUAGAGCAGCAUUGUCCAGCGAAACUUUCUUCAGUGAUGGGAAGGUCCUGUGCCUCUGCUGUCCAGGAUGGCAUCCACUCCCACCUUUACCUACUGAGCACUUGAAAUGUGGCGACUGCAACUGAGGAGCUGAAUUUUUUUAUUUAAUUUAAAUUUAAGUUUAAAUUUAGGGAACCACAUGUGGCUCAUAGCUACCACGUUGGCAUAGACCUAGAGCUCAUCUAAAAAGUGAAACAAGUGUGGAUCCUCCUAUAACUAAGAAAAAAGAAAACUUACCCUUUCAUCUUGAGGUAGGAGGUGGGACUCAAUUCUGGAAGCAGGGCUCAGACAUUGGACCAAAUUGAGGACUAGUUAAAAUAGGAACUAGGAAUGGGGUGGAGACACCUUUCCAUAAGACAUGCCCACCAGUGUGCCAUGUCAAUUUACCAUUGUUGUGGCAACACCUGGAAGUUACCACCCCUUUCCAUGGCAAUGACCUGAUGACCCAGAAGUUACCACCCCUUUUCUAGAAAUUUCUGCAUA
rnacentral:lncRNA from 1 species